GAGUUGAGCAUAGUGAGGUGAGGGUGACUGUGUGUCUCGCGAACCAAGAGGAGGUGCGGGCAGGCGCCACAACCCCCAAACACCACUCCUGCAGACUCAUCCUCGGCGACGCUGACAACAACGUCCUCUACAAUCAGCGUAUCACAGAUGCAGCACUGGUUAUAUCUGGAAGUGUGUCUCGGGUGGUGAAGGUGACGAGGGCUCAGACGGGGGAUGAACUACCUGUUAACUUUAUCUCUGAAACCUGGGCUGGUCUAGAUGUGCAGAGCAGCUACAGUCCCCGCUACCUGCCUCGUCCACAGACCUUCUCUGCUGAUCCCCACAUUACUAUGCCAGCACCAUUAGCACCUCACAAACAAAG